AUUGAACGCUGGCGGCAGGCUUAACACAUGCAAGUCGAGCGAGCGGCGGACGGGUGAGUAGUGUCUGGGAAACUGCCUGAUGGAGGGGGAUAACUGCUGGAAACGGUAGCUAAUACCGCAUACGGUCAUAUGUGCCCAGAUGGGAGUAGCUAGUCGGUGGGGUAAUGGCUCACCUAGGCGACGAGCCCUAGCUGGUCUGAGAGGAUGAACGGCCACACUGGAACUGAGACACGGUCCAGACUCCUACGGGAGGCAGCAGUGGGGAAUAUUGCACAAUGGGCGCAAGCCUGACGCAGCAAUGCCGCGUGUGUGAAGAAGGCCUUCGGGUUGUAAAGCACUUUCAGCGAGGAGGCGUUACCCGCAGAAGAAGCACCGGCUAACUACGUGCCAGCAGCCGCGGUAAUUC
rnacentral:rRNA from 1 species